GAACGUUUGGACGUACCCCCGGAGACACGCGGGCUUCGGUUUCUCUUUUUGUCCUUUUUUGUGCGUGUGUUUUGCAACUGUGUGGUGUUCAGUCAGAGAAGAUGACCCAUCGCUGCAAGCCUGAACGAUUGGAACACCCAGACCAUCCUGCGUCGUUCAGUAAGAUCGAUACGACUCCGGUGCCACCGAUUCGGUUCCUUCUAUCACUCCACAUGAGAGCCGCCGAGUUCACUUUCUGACCUC